AUGGCGAUGAUCCUAGAUGCCUUUGCAUACUAUGUGCAAAAUAUGCUCACGGAGAUGGUGAAGGAAGAAGUGCACAUGCUGCUUGGAGUCGGAGAUGACAUCGACAAGAUGGAUGUCAAGCUUGGGGAUCUCAAGAACUUCCUUGCCGAUGCUGACAGAAGGAACAUCACAGACAAGAGCGUGCAAGAGUGGGUGGGCCAGCUCAAGCGUGCCAUGUACGAAGCCGCCGACAUACUCGACGUCUGUCAGCUCAAGGCCAUGGAGCGUGGUUCAUCCACUGUGGAUGUCGGGUGCUUCAAUCCCUUGCUCUUUUGCAUGCGGAAUCCCUCCCAUGCCCACGACAUCGCCACCCGCAUCAAGGGUCUGAACAAGAGGCUCGACACCAUCAAGGAGCGAAGCGCUGCUUUCAGCUUCAUCAAUCUUGGUUCAUACGAGGACCGUAGCAGCAAGGUGCACGCUUCUCAUUCUGGAAAUACCAGACGUGAGACAUCAGGGGAGUUCGAUCGGUCGGGUAUAGUCGGGGAGAAGAUCGAAGAAGACACAAGAAAGCUGGUUGAGAUCAUGUUGACUGAAAAAGAGGGCAACGCCAACAUCAUGGUGGUUGCCAUUGUUGGUGUCGGCGGCAUAGACUUCGACAGGGUUGAGCUGCUCAGGACAAUCAUCACCCUUGCUGGGGGAAAACACUGUGGUGAAAAAGCGUUGGCUGUGCUUCAGCCAAUUCUCACUACUGCCCUGACAGGGAAGAAGCUAUUGCUGGUGCUAGAUGAUGUGUGGAGUCACGAAGCAUGGGGUGAUGUGCUUGAAAUACCCUUGGCUAAUACUCUGGUUCGAGGUAGUAGGGUCCUCCUCACUACUAGAGAUGAGAGAGUUGCUCGAGGGAUGAAAGCUGUGCUUCCCUACCACCACGUGGACAAAUUGAAGGAGGAGGAUGCCUGGUCAUUGCUCAAGAAACAGAUAGUCUCAAGUGUGACUGAUAUACAUGAGAUAGAUAUGCUCAAGGAUAUUGGCUUGCAAAUUGUAGCAAAAUGUGAUGGCUUGCCUCUUGCUAUCAAAGUAAUGGGAGGACUCUUGUGUCAGAAGGAUAAUCAACACAGUGACUGGAAGAUGGUUCUGGAUGAUUCUAUAUGGUCAGUAUCUGGAAUGCCCAAAGAGCUAAACCAUGCAGUAUAUUUGAGCUAUGAAGAUUUACCUUCUUGCAUCAAACAAUGCUUUCUAUGCUAUUCCCUUCUCCCUAAAGCUGCAAAGUUUCUAAGAGAGGACAUAAUUGGCAUGUGGAUUAGUGAAGGAUUUCUACAUGGACCCUCAGACGACUUGGAAGAAUUAGGAAGAAAGUACUAUAAAGAGUUGAUACAGAGGAACCUUAUAGAGCCAGAUUCAAAGUACAUUGAUCAACUAUUUUGCAACAUGCAUGAUGUCGUUCGCUCGUUUGCUCAAUUUGUGGCUAGAGAUGAGGCAUUAGCAGCUCACAGUGGAGAAAGUAAUAUUGUUAGUAAACUUUGUGCACGUAAGUUUCUUCGGUUGUCGCUAGAAAGCAAAGCAUCAGGAUCAGAUGGGUUAGACUGGAGUUCUUUACAAGCACAAGACACACUGAGAACACUAAUUUCAGUUGGCCAUAUAAAUAUGAAGCCCGGUAAUUCAUUGGUUCAUUUUCCAUGUCUACGAACUCUGCAUAUAGAGUCUGCACAUGCCGCGUUGGUUGAAUCUUUGCAUGAAUUCAAGCACUUGAGGUACUUAUCUUUAGAACGGUCAGAUAUCCGUAGGCUUCCAGAAAGCAUUGGUAAAAUGAAAUUCUUGCAGUACAUUAGCCUUAGAGGAUGCCAACAAUUUGUGGAACUUCCACAUAGCAUUGUAAACUUAGGACACCUAAGGUACCUUAACUUCCAGAAAACAAGUAUAAAUGGCAUACCUAGGGGGUUCCGUGUUCUGACAAAUUUGAGGAAAGUAAAUGGAUUUCCGGCCCGGGUGGAUGGUGAUUGGUGCAGUUUAGAAGAGUUGGGCCCUCUUUGUCGGCUCAAGUAUCUUGAAAUACAGGGGUUGGAGAAUGUAACUGCUUCCUCGUUCUCAGCAAAGGCAAAGCUUGUUGAGAAGUUGCAUCUUACCAACCUAUGCUUAACCUGUGGUAGUAGAUUGGGGGAUGACGGGCUGAUUGAAGAAGAGACCCAACAAAUUGAGAAGGUGUUUGACGAACUCUGCCCUCCUCCCAGCUUAAAUUUUCUUGCCAUCGAAGGAUAUUUUGGCCGACGACACCCAAAGUGGAUGAUGUCAUCAUCAGAUAUGCCCCUCAAGAACUUGAGGAUUCUGAUGGCUGAAGAUCUGGCUUCGUGCACACAACUUCCUGAUGGCUUGUGUCAGCUUCCUUAUUUGGAGUUCCUUCAGAUUGACCGUGCCCCAGCCAUCAAGCGUGUUGGACAUGAAUUCCUGCAGUCCUAUCAUCACCAGAAUCCUCAUCCUUCCAAGGCGGUGAUUUCAUUUCUGAGAUUGCACACAAUGAAGUUAAUGGGCUUGGUGGAAUGGGAGGAGUGGAAGUGGGAGGAGCAAGUUCAAGCCUUUCCUGCCCUGACUGAACUUAUUCUGUUUGAAUGCAAUUUGAACCGUCUUCCUCCUGGCCUUGCCUCCCAGGCAAGGGCUUUGAAGGUAUUAUCCGUACAGCAGGUCAAGGGUCUCAUCUCUCUAGAGAACAUUGCUUCCCUGAUCGAGCUGCAAGUAAUUGAAAACUUCCACUUGGAGAGAAUCACUAAUCUCCCCAGACUGCAGAAGCUUACCAUCACCCGCUGCCCAAAGUUGAAGGUGCUGGAGGGUGUUCCUGCACUACAGAGGCUCAUGCUCGAGGACGACUACAUGGAGACACUCCCAGAAUACAUGGGAAGUAUAAACCCAAGACGUUUGGAGCUCUACUGCAGCCUGGCGCUGCUUGCUUCCAUGGCAGUGGCACAAUCUGGACUUGAGUGGGACAAGUUCAGCCAUAUUGAGCAUGUCAAGGCAUAUGCACAUGAAGGAGACAAUCCAAGGAAAUGGUAUGCAUUGUACACAACUAAUCCCUACAACUUGGAGACAAAUGUCAACAGCUCUGCUUUGAUGUAUAGAGGAACCUUAUUUUCUUUGGAGGAUGCGCAAACAUUUGAGUCUGUCUUCAAAAUGACAAGAAGAACUUUUAGGUAUAUCUGCAGCUUGGUGAGUCUGGAAUUGAAUUAUAUGACAUGCUACACCUUUGCUGAUGGGAGGGAGCUGUCUUUACAAGAUCUAGUAGCCAUUGUUCUCAGAAGGUUGUACUCUAGUGAGCCACCGGAGACAAUAGGAUCCACUGUUGGUGUGAACGAGUCAACCGUCUUGUUGGUAACUGAGAGCUUUGUUGCUGUGUUGUGCAAUCGAGCAAAGCAUCACUUGCUUUGGCCAGACUCCAGUAGAAUGUAUAAGAUCAAAUCCAUGUUUGACAAGAUCCACAAUAUGAAUAACUGCUGCGGUGUUAUAUGUACAACUCGCAUCCCAUUUGGACCAAACCGCGACAGUGAGUAUUAUUGCAGUGUUAUAAUGCAAGUCAUCAUUGAUCCAGAGAUGAGGUUCACAAACAUUUGGUUGGCAUCGACAGGUAGCAUGAAUCCCUUCAGCAUUUUACACAACUCUUCACUCUUCAAUGAGUGCCAGAAGGGUGAUUUGCUGAAUGGCAACAAGCUGAAGGUAGCAUUAGAUGGAUCAGAAGUAGGGGAAUACAUAAUUGGUGAUGUAGAAUACCCUCUUCUCCCCUGGCUACUCACGCCUUACAAGGAAGAAGAGCUCUCCGACUCCAAGGUGGAGUUCAAUAGGAGACACUCUGCAGCCACAACCUGCAUGCUGAAUAAUGUACUGGCAAGGUUCAAAGGCACAUGGAAGUACCUGCAAGAGGAGACAUGGUGGCCGGUCAAUCCGGACACUCUGAGUAACAUAAUCAAUGCCUGCUGCAUAUUGCAUAACAUAGUCAUAGAUAUGGAGGAUGAUGCAGCCAUGCCAAGCUCUGAAGCUGAGGAUUGGAGUUACCAUCAGCAAGUGCGCCAGUUAGCAAAUGAGGACGCUGUCAGGGCAAGGGAUAUGUUGUCGCAAUUUUUCUUGGCCAGAAUGUCAUCCGAAUUGGGAGGUGAGUUAACAGAACUUCUCCUACAUCUUAAUUUGUUCAUUUGGUUGCUAUGUCCACUUAUUUGUCUUGAUUAUUUCGUCCUGCUGUUUCCAUCCUUCAUCUGUUUAGUCGGCACAGUGGAUGCAGAGGAGGACCAUGAACUAGCUGCAACAGGCUCAGGGGACGAAAACAAGGAACAAGAAGCAGAGACAAAAUCAGCAGAGGAAGAGAGGCAAUGUUAG
rnacentral:rRNA from 1 species